UACGUAGGGGGCGAGCGUUUAUCCGGAAUUAUUGGGCGUAAAGCGCGCGCAGGCGCCGAUUAAGUCAGGUGUGAAAGGCUGCGGCUCAACCGCAGAGCGGCACCUGAAACUGGUCGGCUUGAGUGCAGGAGAGGGGAGCGGAAUUCCCGGUGUAGCGGUGGAAUGCGUAGAGAUCGGGAGGAACACCAGUGGCGAAGGCGGCUCUCUGGCCUGUAACUGACGCUGAGGCGCGAAAGCGUGGGGAGCAAACAGG
rnacentral:rRNA from 1 species